GGUUGUGGCUCAGUGGUAGAGCCCUUGCCUAGCAUGUGUGAAGCACUGGGUUCGAUCCCCAGCACCA
rnacentral:tRNA from 1 species